GCCAGGCCAUCUUGGGUGUGGUUGGGAACAGCCAGAACUGUGUGAGGUGCCCACCAGAGAGACAAAGGCAGCCCCCGACAAAGCAGGACAAACAGGACUUUCCCUGGGCCAGCCUGCCUCUCCUCUAAACUCUGAGUUACUUAUCUGCCGCUGUCCUGGGUUCUUCUCCCUCCUCUUCCACCCCCCUUUCCUGGCUCUGUCCCCAUUGCAGGAGCUGCUUCUGCACCUGCUGGACCCUGUGCUCUGCUCCUACCUGCUCUUGGGGUUUCCAAGGGCACUUGCCCCAGGCAUCUGACAGUUACAUCAUGGUGUCCUUCUGGGCUGCCUGGACAUCAGGGCUACAGUGGAAACGAGAAGGCCGCUGACGUGUGCAGAGCAACAGUGAAGAGCAGGACAAGGAAAGUCACCACAGCACCACUCCACCAUUCAUGGAGUUUGCUCUUGGUGCAUGGUGCUCCCUUGUGGUGCUGGAGGUUCAGACUUGGGAUCCUUAAUCAUGGUGGGAAGACUGAGAGGAGCAGGUCGGUGAGCAGGCCAGCCUUGUGGUGGCUGCACCUCAAGCAGGCUGGAAACCCCUGCCCUAUCCCUCAGCUGGGAGAACCAGCCUGGUUUGGCCUUGUGCCCGCCCUGAAAUUGCAGGCACCCCGGCAGGUGAGCCCCUGGGCACACUCUGAGCCUGGCCCGGAACCCCUUCACCGCCCACAGCUGAGUGGCCUGUAGGUGCCUGCCUGAGGGGUGUGCAGGCCCCUGUCCUGCUCCACAGGAGGGAGGGGCAGCAAUAAAUUCACACCGCCAGCCGCCCGCAGGAUAAAUGUGUCAUCGGCUGCACGAUUUACGAGCACACCCCUGGCCCGCAAGGCAGAGAAAACAAACCUCUGUGUAGACACGGCGCGGCGGGCAGGGACUGGCGGGUGGCGGGCUGGGGUGCUUAGGGCUCAGCAGCUGGGACAUGCAUGUCGGAGACAUGGGAAUAGGGACGUGGUCCUUUGGGGAGCUGGCUGUCCAUCUGCAAAGCUCCCACAAACUCCCACACAUGUGGUGGACUUGAGGAUGCUCAAGACGUGGGUGUCAUUAGCUCAUGCUAAACCCCACCCUGGAGAGGAGCCUCGGGGAAGGCUCUCUGGGGAUGUGUGUGCAUGUGUGUAUACAUGCAUGCAUGUCUAGUCUUGUGUGUGUGCCUCAGUAGGUAUGAGGAGAGCCAUGGUGGAGGGGACCAAGGGACCACUGCUUGGGGAGGCACAGGCAGAGUAGGAGACCAGGAGGUCCCAGGAAGACACAGGUCCUGGAACCUUAAGGUGGGGCCCAUUUUUCUGCAUGCUGCUCUCAAUUCAAAUCAAAUAAUAUUGCAUCCGUGGACCGAAACCUAAUCAACGCAACGAGUGCCACCCCAGCAUGCUUCACUUCAGACUGUGACCAGAGACUUCAGGUGUGGAAUGAUAACCCUUCAGCUUCAUCACUCAGCCACCAGCUUCCAGAUGCCAUCAGGAUGCCGGCCAGGCUUCCCUGGACUGAAGACCCCACCAAUGUGUCCUGGAGUUCCGCUUCCCCAGAGCCCCACCCUACUAGGGAAAGAGAGAGGCAGACUGGGAGUAUGGACCGACCAGUCAACGUCCAUGUUCAGCGGGGAAGCAAUUACAGAAGCCAGACCUUCCACCCUCUGCAACCCACAACGACCCUGGAUCCAUACUUUCAGAGAGAUAGAGAAUGGGAAGGCUAUCAGGGGAGGGGAUGGGAUAUGGAGAUCGGGUUAUGGGAAUUGUGCGGAACUGUACCCCUCUUAUUCUAUGGUUUUGUUAAUGUCUCCUUUCUUCAAUUAAAAAAAAUUAAAAAAAAAAAAGACCUUUCCUCACUAUCUACAAAGACUGGUUGGAAUUCUUCAAGUGCAUCUUUAAAUAAACAAAGCACAGAGAAAAGCAAACUCCCAAACAGAAAUCAUAUCAGGAAUGAUUUCCAUGCAGACAUGGGCAGAGCUUCAGUCCCUACCCCAGGGACCCUUCAGAGCCCCUGGUAAGUCUGGGAGCUCAUUAGAGCUCUUUGGGGCCCAGUGACAGCUGGGAAGAACAGGGUUGGCUGGCAUUGGCCCAGGACCC